UACGUAGGGUGCGAGCGUUAAUCGGAAUUACUGGGCGUAAAGCGUGCGCAGGCGGUUCGCUGUGUCCGAUGUGAAAGCCCCGGGCUUAACCUGGGAAUGGCAUUGGAAACUGGCGGGCUUGAGUGCGGCAGAGGGGGGGUGGAAUUCCGCGUGUAGCAGUGAAAUGCGUAGAGAUGCGGAGGAACACCGAUGGCGAAGGCAGCCCCUGGGGUCGACACUGACGCUCAGGCACGAAAGCGUGGGAGCAAACAGG
rnacentral:rRNA from 1 species